rfam:Diaporthe ampelina DA_912_scaffold_v01_515, whole genome shotgun sequence.
GGACCAUUGGCCCAAUGGCAAGGCGUCUGACUACGACAAGCGAUCUUCUCACGAGGAAUUCGGAAUCAGGAGAUUGCAGGUUCGAUCCCUGCAUGGUUCA